rnacentral:lncRNA from 1 species
GGACUGUCCAUUUUAAACUAAGGGAAGGAAAGGAGAAAUACUGGGGAUUGAAAUGGAGCAAAUUAUGUUAUAUGCAUUUAUAAAAAUGCCAAAGUGAACCCCAUUAUUAUAUAUACCUAUAAUGCACUAAUAAAAAUAUUUAAAGUUUGAAUGUGAAAAUGAAACAAUGUUCUGAAAUAAAACCUGAAAGAAUAAUUUAAUUGUUUUAAAAUGAAGAGAUGAGUUCAAGAACCAAAAAAUCCACAAUUUUGAAAGUAAAGAAUAAUGAGAGAGAGAGAGAGAGAGAGAGAGAGAGAGGAAAUAUUUAAAAAUAUACCCAACUCUAUAUACAUGAAGGGCUAACCUAGACUGGUAAGAUGUUCCUGGCCUUAUUUUCAGAAUCUAUAGAUAUACUACUUUGCAAAAGGGACAUUUCAGUUGUAAUCAGUGCUUCUAAGCUGCUAAGAUUGUGGUAUUUUUUUACAACAUUGAUAUAAAACUAAUAGAUAACUACAUAGUAUUUAAGAAUGAAAUUUUAGCCUACAAACAUAAUUUCCAAACAUAUAAAAUAUUUUUUGCCGAAUUUUGUUCAUUCCAUCAUUAUUUAUUAUUAUUUCCAGUAGAAGGUUAUAAAACACCUACAUGCCCAUAAAUGAGAAUUUGUUAAGUGAAUUGUGUUAUACCCAUAUUAUGGAAUGCUCCUUUAUCUAUAGAAAGAUGUAGAGCAUUCAUACUGUUAUGAGAAAAGAUCCAAGAUAUUCUAUACUGCUAAAUGAAAUUUUAAGGCAUACUACUUUAUAUAUAAAAAGAGAAAAAAAUAAAUUUAUAUUUACUUGUAUAUGCAAAUAAUAUUUUUGAAAGACUGUAGAUGGAAGUAUUGAUUAUUGUUGCCUACUGUAGGGAUGAAAUUGGGUAGAUGGAACUCAAAGAUGAGUAGGUGAUUUCUCUGCAUCUUUAACCAUGCAAAUGCAUUGCCAUUUAAUAUAUAUUUAAAUGACAGUUGGUUAGAUAGACAGAUGAUUGAUAGAUAGAUAGAUAGAUGAUAGAUAAAUGAUAGUAGACUUAUCUGUGGGAGAAACCCCACCUAAAUAAACUAGAUAGAGAAGGAUUAUACCUGGACAUAAAAAAAACUACAUAUUCAUCCAAAAAGAAGAAUGAGAUCAUAUCAUUUGUAGGAAAAUGGAUAGAACUGGAGGUCAUCAUGUUAAGAGAAAUUAGCCAUAUGCAGAAAAGCAGAUAUUACAUGUUUUGUUUCAUUUGUGGAAACAACAACAAAAAUAACUGAAAGUAGAGGAGAGACUAUAAGGAAAGGGGAAUAAAGGAGAAGGAGAUCAGGCAGAUAGAGGGAAAGAAGGGAGAGCAAAGAGGUAAAUAUGGAGCAUGGAUAUGAACAAAAUAAGAUAUGUGCAUAUAUGAAAAUGUUAUCAAGGUCACUAAUUUGUACAAUUAAAAUGUGCUAAUAAUUAUGAUCUUAAAAGAUAACAAUAUCUUCUGGAUAUCUCAUAUGAAUAGUAUGACACAGAGGUUCGUGAUUUAUAAUAUAUUGUGGGGUAGCAAGAAUAGAAAAGAAGUAGUGACUAAAAUAGUGAGCAUUACAUACUAUAAAGGACACCAGAGCAAGCCCUUUUUCUAACAGCUUGUCCUUUUCUUCAAUGAUGUUUACCAUCUGAAAUUUUCCUCUGUUCUCAGACUUUUCUUUCACUCUGAGCAGGAAGCUUCUGCCUCCACACCUUGAGAAAUGUAUUCAAUAGUAGGGGUCAUGAAUACAAGAGCAGAUUUUCAAACAAAAAAAAAGACAAAAAAUAAAACAAAACAUGAAACAAAGCGAGUGGUAGAAAUCCAGUCCUUUCGGUUCUAUGUCAGAUUUUUAGAGGAUCCAUCCUCAAUACAGGUGUAGCCUGCUGGUUACAGCACAAAGAAAGACCUGUGGAAACAGCAGUGCUGGGUAGGUCUAGAAUUCUUUCAAAGCAACAGGAAACAUUUAGAAUAAGACUGAACAGGUAAUACUGAGCAUAAUAGGGGGGUCUUACAGACAAAAAUGCUAACUAAGCAAUAAAGCCUCUUUAAACUUUGUUUGUAAAAGAAUGUUGGGAUCAAAGAUAUGCUCUGAGAUUAAUCUGUCAAAGUAUGCAGUAUAGAUGGGAUGAGGAAGAUGAGAAGCCAGAAAUUUUGCAAGUAAGAGCCUAAGAGAAAGCACUACUUUUAGAUUCAAAAUAUAUUUUAGCCUUCUAAAAAUUAGUAAGGCUGUUUGGCAGUUGCAAUACUCACUGCUAAAUCUGAUUAAAUCCCAAAGGCCUCUUUUAAAGGAUAGAUUAAAGGAAGUGAAGUAAAAAGUUAGGACCAAAUGAAAGUACUACAAUUUUUCAAAAAAUCAUUUCCAAAGGGCCAUCCAGUUAAUUUAAGAAACACUCUGAUGCAUCUAUGGCUAAAACUCUGAUAUUUCUUAUAAGAAGUGUCAUUUCUAAAGUAUAAUUGCAUAACACAUUGCUAAAACAGUAAUGAAAGAAUUUCAGAACAUCCAUCAAAGACUUCGAAUGUGAAAUGAACAGAGUUAGUUUAUGAAUCCUGGGAUUGCAGCAUGGACAUUAGACAGCACUGCCCUCUGCAGUUAAAUGUAUUCUACUCACAGAGACCUGUAACACUCGUUAUAAACCAAUGCUUCAAGCCAGAUAUUUUGUUAUCUCAUUUAUUCUAGUCAUCAAAAUACCAGAAAUACCAAAGUGUCCAGUCUGGAUCCCAGCAGAAAUAAUUACUUAUCACGGUCAAAGGUAGCAUGAGAAGAAAGUACUGAGAGAACUAAUCUGGUUUCAUUUGCUGACUCCUGAGUACUGUACUGUAUAGUUGACAUUUUUAUUGGUGAACAAAAUUGGCAAUAUUACUUAAUUCUUUUUAUUUUUAUUCUAUGAAAAGAUGGAAUCAGACAAUAAAAAGUUGCUAAAUAACUGAAGAGUUAUGUCGUGAUAAGUACCAAAAACCAGUAACAAAAGCAGACAGUUAAAAAAAUCACAGAUGAAUCUCAUCAAAGAAGGUAACAUAGAAAUGGAAACCUGAAGGACAUGAGAGACCUAGAUUUGUGGUCGGUAGGGAAAAUUAAUGGAAUGAAAUGUGCACAUGUCCUGAGACAGGAAAAAAGAAUAGAAUGUUUCAGGAAUGAAAGGAAUACAGUAAUACCAUAAAGUAUCUAGUCAGUCAUGAAUGGGUGAGCAGGGAAAAGACAAAGAAGGAUGACGACUGAAAACCACAGGGAAUUAUAUCUGACAGAUAAGCACUUAGAAGAUGGGGGCUUGGUAUGUUAAAAUUCCACCAUCCAUAAUAACACCCCCUAAAAAUCUAUUAAGAUCAUACACUCUCCAUUAGGUGGCUGGACCCUCCCUUGUCACUGAAACUUAUCACAACCUCAAUCACCCAAGCAACUAAAACAUUAAGACCUUCACAAAGAAAGCUUACUGGUGGCUACUCAAAGGGUAAUACAUUAAGAGGGAAGGAAACUGAGGCAAAAACAGGCAACACAAUUUCCUAAAAAUCUCCAACUCUGUGAGUACCACAUCAUCCUUUCUGAGAGGCAGUCCAUGCAGUUCCUAUGCUGUCAGUCAAAAGUCAAAAGAUGGACCUGGGCAUGACUCUGGAAACUUCCUUGACCUCCCAAUAAAACUGGAGGGCAGGAGGAGUGGUCUGUCUCUCUCCUCCCUGAGACAUCCCAUACUGUCCUUUGAGAAAAUCUUCUUUUCCCCUUUCUUAACUCUUCUAAUUAAUUCAGGCUUGUUACUCUGAACAACAUGUCCAGAAUCUUUCUGGCAUGAUUGCAAGAAUCAGGGUGCAAAGGGGCUUUCACCCUGCCUCAGCUUCAAGGUGGGCCUACGCCCUGCAAAGAUACCAGAGAAUAUUGAGGUAAAAACACAAAGACAACAUAGAUAUGAGCAGAGACAGAGGCUAAAUAUUCUACUUACCUUUAGGUUCUAGUAAGAACAUCAAAUUUUAUUUUAAAUGCAAUAAUACCUUUCUCAAGGACUUUAAGUGAAAAAUAACUUUAUAGUAUUCUUAUUGUCUACAACUUAACAAUUUAAUUUUUAAUUCUUUGUCUUAUCUGAUGUAGAAAUAUUAGGGAAGAUGAAAAGCAUGUUUAUUUAUAACCAGUCAAUCCACAGCCUUACACUGAUAAAUACUGUCCCUGAAAUUAUGUCACUGCCCUUGCAAAGGAAGAUAAUUCAAUGACUAUUUAAUUAUAAAUAUGAGAUAAAAGUCAUAAAAAUAGUAGGGGAAACUGGAAAUAAAAGGUCUUCACAAUAAUCUAUCACCUCUUACAAGAUGGCAAGGCCACCAUGUGCUAGUAUAUUUGAUAGACCUACCCUUAAAUUGAAAUAUCCAUAGAUGGUAAGCCAAUCAAUCCUCUGUUAUUCUUAUGCAAUUAGGAGAUGGUUUUAACAUGAACCAAAAAUGCUUCUCAUAUACUAACAAAAGAAAGGUUCAAAAAUCCCAAAUAAUUGCUAUUCUCCAACAAAGUAGCCCUUUCUCAUCCAUUUUUGAGGGUAAAUAGCAGUUCCAUUUUUAUAGACUAAGAGGAGGGAAAUAGAACUUCCAAUUUUUUUUUCCUAAGAAAUCCAAUUGUUACUCAUUUUGAGCCUAUUUCCAGCCUUUCUCCUUUAACUGGAAGGAAAGAGAUGGAGAAUUCUGUUCACUAACUUAUUCAGGACCACUGUUUGGCAGUUUAAAACAAUUCCGCAGUACUAUCCAUGAUACAGCUCCACAGAGAGAGAAAUUUGUCCCCCUUAAAAAAUGACACACUAAACAUUUCUGUUUCUUGCUGCAGAAUUAAUGAACUUCUUAAGGAUGUCUUGAAUUGACUUAACUGCCCCAGCACUUUGAAAUUAUUCAGAUUUCUUAGUCCAGGAUUUCAUAGUUUCCAAGUACCUGGAAGAAAUGAAAUCAUAAAGAGAAUAUCCACAGAUAACUAAGAAUUUCCAGCUGCUGACAAAAUCCACUGAUACAAAAAACCAAAUGAGAUUAAUAUAUUGACAAUAUGCCCUACACUUUAUGCACACAAUUAUCUAUGUCACUCCUUACACAUCUGUUGUGCUUUUUAUUUUUAUGUUAAUAUAAAUGGCAGAGCUGCACCAUGUACUACUACCUUUCAUACAGCAAUAGCCUAAAAAUGGCUCAUGAAUAUUAAGUUCACUUGCCAAACAUCAGUAUGGGUGUAUGUGUAUUUUAGAUUAACCAUCCCAGAGUCUACAUAAUGAUCAGAAAUUAAGUGAUAGUUUAGACCUAACAAGCUAUCAAUACUUGCCCUGAAUUACUGUCUUACCAGAAAUGGAAAUACAGCAAUUAGUUAAUUUUAGUUUAAAGACUGAGUGAUUAUCUAAUGCAAUGUAAGAAUACUUUUUACCAAAAUGAGAUGGAUAAGCCAUGAAAAUCCUGUUUGGCUUCCCAAAUACAACCUGCAUUAAGACAGGUUUACAUCUUACUUCUGAGAUUACUGUCCCAAUUUUCAAUAUGAUACUUUGUUAUUAAAAAAAGCGGGGAGGGGGGGCCUGGGAUUGUGGCUCAGUGGUAGAGCUCUCACCUAGCAUGGGUGAGACCCAGGUUCAAUUCUCAGCACCACAUAAAAAUAAAGGCAUUGUGUUGUGUCCAUCUACAUCUAAAAAUUUAAAAAAAAGUUUUUCCUUCACAGCUUCUGCCACUAUUAAAAUCUAAACACCAAGAAAAUGGUUUUGUGAAACAAACUUUCUUCAUUCUUGUUUUCUCUCCCAACUAAAUUAUUGUACUUUACUUCUAUUUCUGUAACUCAUUCUCUUCAGCAUUUACAAUUCUACAAAGAUAAUGUCUCAGUUUUAUUUCAACUACAGAAAAUCACUUAAUGUACCUUACGAGAACCAAACAAAUAAUUGGUUUGGGUUAAAUUCAAACCUAUCAGGAAAAAAAAUUUAUGCAGACACAUGGAUCAGUAGACUAUUGCUCAAUGAGUUGUAAAAGAUAGUUCAUGAGGUUGAAAGAUUUCAAUAAGUAUUUUAUACAGAUGAGACAAAAUUAUAAACACUGGAACUUCAGUGAAGUGACAAAAAUCUGUAUCUUUACUGGAAUCUGUUAACAAUUAACAUUUAAUGAAAUCUUAGAGUAGUUUUUAUUUACAUUUCUCUUAUUACUAG